GUAAAGUUCUUUCCUCUUUCUCGUAGCUGCCGGCAGCCAUAGGAUAGGAUCCAAAAUCGACUUGAGAUAUCAAAGUUUGUCAAUAGUCGGUCCUAAUGGAGGUGGCAAAAGCAAUGUGAUAGACUCAAUGCUGUUUGUAAUCGGUCAGCCACCAAGAUCAGAUUCAAAAAGAUAUCAGUUUUAAUACACAAUUCCAAGAAGGAUUCAAAUAUCAAGCUGUACUGUUCCUGUGCAUUUUCAGCAAAUUAUUGACAAGGGAAGUGUGUUACAUAUAUUAUGUUCAAUAAACAAAACAUUACAUUGUUUUUCUGACAUAUUGAGUCGGUACUAUCUCUUUUUUUUCAGAGUUUCUCAUCGAUAGUAGGUCCUAAUGGANGUGGCAAAAGCAAUGUGAUAGACUCAAUGCUGUUUGUAAUCGGUCGAGCCACCAAGAUCAGAUCCAAAAAGAUAUCAAUUUUAAUACACAAUUCCAAGGAUUCAAAUAUCAGAAGCUGUUUCUGUGCAUUUUCAGCAAAUUAUUGACGAGAAGUUUUAAGAAACGCACAUGAAUCUGCGAAAAAUGAACAGAUGUCUUAUAGAAUUAAAAUAUGGUUGGCACAUGCCCGGGAACGCAUCUAUCGAGAAGAAGAAAAGAAAAGAAGAAAAGAUCAAGAUACAGAAGAGAAAUAAUGAUUCCCUUCUGUAACAUUCCGCUCUCCAAGGAUUUUUUGAUGCUAAAAUUAAGUUUGUAUGAUCAUAGUGAUUGUUAUGUAUUUGAACUAAUUAUCUUUUGAUAAAAAUCAUUACAUAAAAAAAGCGGUAGCAAAUUGCGUUUCAAUAUGAAAUACAUAUAUGUUACAGUAGAAGCAUUUACUAAAAUUAUCUUAUUUAUUUUUACUUAGUAAAACAUAUAUGUAAAACAUAGAAAUUUUAUUUUUUUCACCGAAAAAUGUUGUAUUAGCUUCAGAGCACUUAAUUUCUUUUUUAUCAAUCUUUAACGUGUCGACAUUUCCAGAUAUAUUUUAUCACAUCCAACUAAUUGAUUUUAUUCUUAACGUAUGAAA